rnacentral:misc_RNA from 1 species
CAGGUCACGCAGAAGAACGGCGAACGCUGGAGUGCCGCGCGCGGCUACAUCCAUCCGUUCAUGGAUACACGCAAGAACCUGCAUGUGAUCACCGGCGCGCAUGCCACGCGCAUCCUGUUCGACGGCAAGCGNUGCGACCGGCAUCGCGUAUCGCCGGGGCAAGGAGACAAAGCAGGUCAAGGCGCGGCGCGAAAUCGUCCUCGGCCUCGGCGCUUUCCAGACCCCGCAACUGCUGAUGCUGUC